UCAAGUUAUUAAGGGUGCAGGGCGGAUGCCUUGGCACUAGGAGCCGAUGAAGGACGUGAUAAGCUGCGAUAAGCUUCGGGGAGUUGCACGUAAACUUUGAUCCGAAGAUUUCCGAAUGAGGAAACUCACUUAGAGUAAUGUCUAAGUAUCAUUAAGUGAAUACAUAGCUUAAUGAGGGGAACUCAGGGAACUGAAACAUCUAAGUACCUGAAGGAAGAGAAAGAAAUUCGAUUCCGUAAGUAGCGGCGAGCGAACGCGGAUUAGCCCAAACCAAUAAAGUUUUCUUUAUUGGGGUUGCGGACAUAUCAUAACGAAGAGGUAUCGUAAUUGAAGAGGUUUGGAAAGACCCACCACAGAAGGUAAUAGUCCUGUAUGUUAAACGAGAAGACUUUAGAUAUGAUCCAGAGUACCACGGGACACGUGAAACCCUGUGGGAAGCAGGAGGGACCACCCUCCAAGGCUAAAUACUACCUAGUGACCGAUAGCGUAUAGUACCGUGAGGGAAAGGUGAAAAGAACCCCGGGAGGGGAGUGAAAUAGAACCUGAAACCCUGCACUUACAAGCUGUGGAAGCACAUUUCUUGUGUGACCGCGUACUUUUUGUAGAACGGGCCAACGAGUUACGUUAAGUAGCAAGGUUAAGCACUUAAGGUGCGGAGCCGUAGCGAAAGCGAGUUUUAACUGAGCGUUCAGUUACUUGACGUAGACCCGAAACCGGGCGACCUACCCAUGAGCAGGAUGAAGCGAAAGUAAAAUUUCGUGGAGGUCCGAACCCACGAGCGUUGAAAAGCUCGGGGAUGACUUGUGGGUAGCGGUGAAAUUCCAAUCGAGCCCGGAGAUAGCUGGUUCUCCCCGAAAUAGCUUUAGGGUAGCCUCAAGGUGAGAGAUACGGAGGUAGAGCACUGAAUGUCCUAGGGGGUAUUGCACCUACCGAAGACUAUCAAACUCCGAAUGCCGUCAUCUUAUACUUGGGAGUCAGACUGUGGGUGUUAAGAUUCAUAGACGAAAGGGCAACAGCCCAGAUCGUCAGCUAAGGUCCCUAAAUGUAAGUUAAGUGGUAAAGGAUGUGGGAUUGCACAGACAACCAGGAUGUUGGCUUAGAAGCAGCCACUCAUUCAAAGAGUGCGUAAUAGCUCACUGGUCGAGUGAUCCUGCGCCGAAGAUUUCCGGGGCUAAAACUUACUACCGAAGCUACGGCAUCAGUAAUGAUGGGUAGGGGAGCUUCCCAUACGGGUUGAAGCAUGACCGUAAGGACAUGUGGACAGUAUGGGAGUGAGAAUGUUGGCAUGAGUAGCGAGAUGUGGGUGAGAAUCCCACAGGCCGUAAACCCAAGGUUUCCAGGGGAAGGUUCGUCCGCCCUGGGUUAGUCGGGACCUAAGCUGAGGCCGAAAGGCGUAGGUGAUGGACAACAGGUUGAUAUUCCUGUACUACCGAUAACCGUUUGAGAGAAGGGAUGACACAGUAGGAUAAGCUAAGCACACUGUUGGUUAUGUGUGCCCAAGCAUUGAGGCAGUCAAAGUAGGCAAAUCCGCUUUGAUAAUGCUGGGAUGUGAUGGGGAGCGAAAUUUAGUAGCGAAGUAGCUGAUUUCACACUGUCAAGAAAAGUCUCUAUCGAGGUUAAAGGUACCCGUACCGCAAACCGACACAGGUGGGUGAGGAGAGUAUCCUAAGGCCAGCGAGAGAACUGUUGUUAAGGAACUCGGCAAAAUGACCCCGUAACUUAGGGAUAAGGGGUGCCACCAUCAGGUGGCCGCAGAGAAUAGGCCCAAGCGACUGUUUACCAAAAACAUAGGUUUCUGCUAAGUCGCAAGACGAUGUAUAGGAGCUGACGCCUGCCCGGUGCUGGAAGGUUAAGGGGAUCUGUUAGAGCAAUCGAAGCAGUGAACUUAAGCCCCAGUAAACGGCGGCCGUAACUAUAACGGUCCUAAGGUAGCGAAAUUCCUUGUCGGGUAAGUUCCGACCCGCACGAAAGGCGUAACGAUUUGGGCACUGUCUCAACAACAGACUCGGUGAAAUUGUAAUUCCGGUGAAGAUGCCGGAUACCUGCGACAGGACGGAAAGACCCCAUGGAGCUUUACUGUAGCUUGACAUUGGGUCUUGGUACUACAUGUACAGGAUAGGUGGGAGGCUUUGAAACCAGGACGCCAGUUUUGGCGGAGCCAUCCUUGGGAUACCACCCUUGUAGUACUGGGACUCUAACCAUAGGCCAUGAAUCUGGUCUUGGGACACUGUCAGGUGGGCAGUUUGACUGGGGCGGUCGCCUCCCAAAAGGUAACGGAGGCGCUCAAAGGUUCUCUCAGUACGGUCGGAAAUCGUACGUAGAGUGUAAAGGCAAAAGAGAGCUUGAUUGCAAGACAUACAGGUCGAGCAAGGAUGAAAAUCGGACUUAGUGAUCCGGUGGUUCUGCGUGGAAGGGCCAUCGCUCAACGGAUAAAAGCUACCCUGGGGAUAACAGGCUUAUCUCCCCCAAGAGUCCACAUCGACGGGGAGGUUUGGCACCUCGAUGUCGGCUCAUCACAUCCUGGGGCUGUAGUAGGUCCCAAGGGUUGGGCUGUUCGCCCAUUAAAGUGGUACGCGAGCUGGGUUCAGAACGUCGUGAGACAGUUCGGUCCCUAUCCGUCGCAGGCGUAGGAAAUUUGAGAAGACCUGUCCUUAGUACGAGAGGACCGGGAUGGACGUACCUCUGGUGUACCAGUUGUUCUGCCAAGGGCAUGGCUGGGUAGCUAUGUACGGAAUGGAUAAGCGCUGAAAGCAUCUAAGCGCGAAGCCAACUUCAAGAUAAGAUUUCCCACCGCAAGGGUAAGACCCCAGAAAGACUAUCUGGUUGAUAGGUCGAAGGUGUAAGUGCAGCAAUGUAUUUAGCUUAUCGAUACUAAUAGGUCGAGGACUUGACCAA
rnacentral:rRNA from 1 species